AAGUCGUAACAAGGUUUCCGUAGGUGAACCUGCGGAAGGAUCAUUACUGAUUUGCUUAAUUGCACCACAUGUGUUUUUUACUGAACAAAUUUCUUUGGUGGCGGGAGCAAUCCCACCGCCAGAGGUUAUAACUAAACCAAAACUUUUUAUUUACAGUCAAACUUGAUUUAUUAUUACAAUAGUCAAAA
rnacentral:misc_RNA from 1 species